rnacentral:rRNA from 1 species
GCUUAACGCGAAGAACCUUACCUACCCUUGACAUGCCAGGGAUUCUGCAGAGAUGCGGAAGUGCUCGAAAGAGAACCUGGACACAGGUGCUGCAUGGCCGUCGUCAGCUCGUGUCGUGAGAUGUUGGGUUAAGUCCCGCAACGAGCGCAACCCUUGCCAUUAGUUGCUACGAAAGGGCACUCUAAUGGGACUGCCGGUGACAAGCCGGAGGAAGGUGGGGAUGACGUCAGGUCCUCAUGGCCCUUAUGGGUAGGGCUACACACGUCAUACAAUGGCCGGUACAAAGGGCAGCCAACCCGCGAGGGGGAGCCAAUCCCAGAAAACCGGUCGUAGUCCGGAUCGCAGUCUGCAACUCGACUGCGUGAAGUCGGAAUCGCUAGUAAUCGCGGAUCAGCAUGUCGCGGUGAAUACGUUCCCGGGUCUUGUACACACCG